GCCGACAUAGCUCAAUGGCAGAGCACAAGUUUUGUAAACUUGGGGUUGUGGGUUCGACUCCCACUGUCGGCU
rnacentral:tRNA from 1 species